rnacentral:rRNA from 1 species
CCUACGGGUGGCAGCAGUGGGGGAUAUUGCACAAUGGGGGAAACCCUGAUGCAGCGACGCCGCGUGGGUGAAGAAGUAUUUCGGUAUGUAAAGCCCUAUCAGCAGGGAAGAAAGAAGACGGUACCUGACUAAGAAGCCCCGGCUAACUACGUGCCAGCAGCCGCGGUAAUACGUAGGGGGCGAGCGUUAUCCGGAUUCACUGGGUGUAAAGGGAGCGUAGACGGCCGUGCAAGCCAGGAGUGAAAGCCCGGGGCCCAACCCCGGGACUGCUCUUGGAACUGUGCGGCUGGAGUGCGGGGGGGGCAGGCGGAAUGCCUGGUGUAGCGGUGAAAUGCGUAGAUAUCAGGAGGAACACCGGCGGCGAAGGCGGCCUGCUGGACCGCGACUGACGUUGAGGCUCGAAAGCGUGGGGAGCGAACAGGAUUAGAUACCCUAGUAGUC